CAGUAGCCGCGGUAAUACGUAGGUGGCAAGCGUUGUCCGGAAUUAUUGGGCGUAAAGGGCUCGCAGGCGGUUUCUUAAGUCUGAUGUGAACGCCCCCGGCUCAACCGGGGAGGGUCAUUGGAAACUGGGAAACUUGAGUGCAGAAGAGGAGAGUGGAAUUCCACGUGUAGCGGUGAAAUGCGUAGAGAUGUGGAGGAACACCAGUGGCGAAGGCGACUCUCUGGUCUGUAACUGACGCUGAGGAGCGAAAGCGUGGGGAGCGAACAGGAUUAGAUACCCCGGUAGUCCCUGUCUCUUAUAC
rnacentral:rRNA from 1 species